CCCCCCCCCCCCCCCGCAACAAUCUAAGAGGCCGUGAACCGGCCUUCUGCUUAAAAAGUUUGAAGACUCCUGCUCUAGAUAAAAGAUGAAAAUAUGGCUAAAAUGUGUGGUUAUUGUUCUGUGCUUCCGAGUUGCUUUCAAUUUAUAGCAGUCCUAAGUUGAACCCAUCAUGCGGUUUUCUUGUUUACACGAGGUAACUUUAAAAAAUCUUAGAAAAGAAUGCAGGAAAGAAACAGAAAUUGUGAGGCUAUUAUUUUUAAUUGCUUCUGCUGAAAUGAGAUGACAGUGGUUAAGUUGAACUAAAAAUAUCCAUUGAUUUACUCUUCUUAAUACCCAAUCAACUUUUAGAGAUUUAAUCUAUGUAAACACUUCCUGCAAAAGAGAGCUAACUGUGAGGAAAUUAAAGAGGGGAAAUAAAAGUGAGAUGAAGGAGUGCAUUAGAAACUUAAAGUUUUAAAUGGUUAUUUAUGCAUGCAGGAGAAUUAGCAAACUAACUUUUUAUACCUUAUAAUAGGCAUUUCAAAAUUGUGUCCAAACAAAACAUAUUCAAAAAAGAUCCUCCUUCACACCCCUACUGUUUACAAUGAUGUACUAGUUGAAACGGUUUAGAAUUUAUUAAAAACUAUAUUACAAAAUUUUAUUAAAAUUUGUUUAAAUCUUCUUUAUUAAAAUCACACCACUUUUCUUUAUUAUUCACAAUUGUGUGCAAGGAAACUUUUAGUUUAUCCAAGUACUUUUUACAAGUUUGGUGGAUCCUUUUUCAGUAAACUACCCCUUUGAAGGAUUUCAAAAUAUACAACUGUGAUCUGCUGACCAUCCAUUUUCAUAAUAUGACUUGUUUUAGUAGAUGUUUUCAGGAACUUUAGUUUUCAUGACUUAGCUUAUUCCCAAAGUUAAUUAUUUCUCAUAAUGGCUUUGUGUUUCUAGAGUCAAGUAGUAACAUCGCUGUGUUGACGACUCCAGUUUUAAGCAACUCCUCUUCCCAAGUCUGUCCUCUUUUCCAACAAAAUCCACAGAGGGAGCUUUCUAUCAAGUGCUGAAUUCCAAUUUUUUCAACAAGAAGAAACAUCUUCUAUAAAGGAAUUACUAAGGACGUCUUCAACUAUCUUUUAACAAAUAAGAACAUGCAAGGAAAAUCACCACAUUUGCAAAAGAAACUGGAGCUCUGCUACAGCAAAUACCAUCAAUUCAUCUUGUGUGAUCUCUUUCCCUCCCAGCAAUGUUCUCUGUCACAACAUACCAUGGAGCCAUAGAUUUGAUGACAUCAUGUUCAAAAGGAUCCCAGAUUCUUAGAAAAGAUUUUUUCCCAAGGAUGUCGAGCCUAUAGUGAGAAUCUUGACUUACAACAACUUUUCCCCAUACAAACAGUUCUUAGGUUCCAAUCUACUUGUUUUCUAUACGAUAUAUUUUCUUCUUUUUCACUUCUGCUGUCAGUAAAUACAGAGCUAAAUCUUCUUCUUAAGGCAAACAUGUCUAAUUAGUAUACCAAGAUAGGAAAAAACUGUCAGAAAAGUGAAGUGGUUUAAUGCUUGAAAAGAAGCAACUCCGGUUGCUCCUGACACGAAAAAAAAUGCUUGAAAAAUAAUCUGUAUGAAACAGUGCCAUCCUGAGAACGUCUGCCCUGAGACCAUUCGAUGUUUUCUCUCAAAACUUAGUAUAACACUAACCACUAUCCAAGCUUGUGUAAAUAUUACAUGGUAGGCAACACAAUUCUUGCUCUUAAAUUAAAAAUAAAUCAACACAUUCUUAGUGCUACUGAACCAAUUCCAAACUUCAAAAGAUAAAGGUAUAAAAAUAGCAGCUGACAAGAGAACUGUAUUCUGAAUUCUUACAAAGAAUUACAAAAGAAUGUUAUCAUAAACAGAAUUGUAAGUUGUGCUAGAAAAGUAUGCUUUAAUAUUUCCUAAACUACAAAAAGAACUAGGACAUGAAAAAUUGCACAUGAACACUUCAACAGCAAAUUUUAUUUCUGUGUACUUUUUAAGUGUCAGUAUUUGAUUCUCAAACAUCUCCCCUUAAGAAAAAAAAUAGUCCAAGAUGUUAAUUCUCCAUUCUUCUUCAAGGGGCCCAGAAGACUACAUAGUCUGGCUGAUUCUUCUGGGACAUAUGUUUGGCACUAGACUAUACAUAAUAAACAUCUGAGAGUGUGGGUUUUUAUCUGA